GCCCGCGCGGGGGGUGUCGGGAGGGAGCGGUUUGAAGGCGGGCCGUCAGUGGCCUAGGCUGGGCUGCGGCACUCCUGGGAAAACGCAGCUCCGGCGACUGCGAGAGCAGAACACGGUACGCAUCAAGAGAAGAAACUCACCAGGGCAUGUUAUAGCUCUGAAUUCAUGGGAUAACUUCAAACCUUAUAAGCACACCAUGCAGAGGUGAAGCAGAUUCACACAGUGCUGCAUUGCUGGAGAGCAGCAAGUCAGAAUGAAUUACUGAACUCAAAAGAGACGCACGUCUUUUGGAAGAGACAGGUGAUUUGCUGUAUGGGGAUGAAGAACGAGAUGAAGAGGACCUCGGGGACCUGGAAGAUCUGUAAGAUCGACGAGAUCUGCUCCGGG